CUGGUUGAUCCUGCCAGUAGUCAUAUGCUUGUCUCAAAGAUUAAGCCAUGCAUGUCUCAGUACAAGCCGUCCUGUGUACGGUGAAACCGCGAAAGGCUCAUUAAAUCAGUUAUGAUUCCUUAGAUAGUACCCACGUUACUUGGAUAACUGUGGUAAUUCUAGAGCUAAUACAUGCCGACUGAGUUCCGACGGGCGCGCCGUUGUGACGGCGGUUCACGCCGUCCGCGGCCGUUCGGCAGGAACGCUCUUAUUAGAUCAAAACCG
rnacentral:rRNA from 1 species